GGUGGUUCUCAGGUGAUUCACCCUGGAAUCGGGCUCCCUCCUCUUCUCUGGUUCCAAGGUGCAUCGCCCAAGAACCGCG
rfam:Myotis lucifugus cont2.43936, whole genome shotgun sequence.